rnacentral:rRNA from 1 species
UACGGGGGGAGCAAGCGUUGUUCGGAUUUACUGGGCGUAAAGGGCGCGUAGGCGGCCACCGCAAGUCGACUGUGAAAUCUCCGGGCUUAACCCGGAAAGGUCAGCCGAUACUGCGGGGCUAGAGUGCAGAAGGGGCAACUGGAAUUCUCGGUGUAGCGGUGAAAUGCGUAGAUAUCGAGAGGAACACCUGCGGCGAAGGCGGGUUGCUGGGCUGACACGUGACGCUGAGGCGCGAAAGCCAGGGAGCGAACGGG